GACGAACGCUGGCGGCGUGCUUAACACAUGCAAGUCGAGCGAUGAAACACCUUCGGGUGCGGAUUAGCGGCGAACGGGUGAGGAACACGUGAGGAAUCUGCCUUCCACUCUGGGAUAACUCCGGGAAACCGGGGCUAAUACCGGAUACUUUCAACUGGCGGCAUCGCCGGUUGAAGAAAGUUUUUCGGUGGAAGAUGACCUCGCGGCCUAUCAGCUUGUAGGUGAGGUAAAGGCUCACCAAGGCGACGACGGGUAGCCGGCCUGAGAGGGCGACCGGCCACACUCGGAGUGAGACACGGCCCAGACGUCUACGGGAGGCAGCAGUGGGGAAUAUUGGGCAAUGGAGGAAGCUCUGACCCAGCGACGCCGCGUGAGGGAUGAAGGCCUUCGGGUUGUAAACCUCUUUCAGCAGGGAAUAAGCGAAAGUGAAGGUACCUGCAGAAGAAGCACCGGCUAACUAUGUGCCAGCCGCCGCCGUAA
rnacentral:rRNA from 1 species